CAAAAUGUUGGGUGCUAAGAACUUUGAUUGAAGAAAUGAGGUGGUACUGCAAGAGCCUGUUAAUGAUUUACAGACGUUGUCCUCGCAGUCAGUCGAAGAGACGGAGACAAGCAGCACCCAACAGCGCUCCAUGAUGCUUCUCCACACAGAUGGAAAACACCUUCAAACUCAUCUCAGAACUCUCAGUGUUUUGGUUUUCCAUCUUCUCCUAACACACUACUGUAGAGGUCAGUCUCAGCUGAUUGGCUCCUCUCAGCCAAUAGUAGCAAACCUUGGUGAAGACAUCAUUUUGCCGUGUUAUCUGGAGCUGGGGGUAAAUGCUGCCAAAAUGACGUUUGAGUGGACGAGGCCCGACCCGAACCCAGAUUCGUUCAUGUUUGGCACACUGGUCAGACACUAAAGGAUAAAAGAAACAACAUGU